UUUAUGUUGUGACCAUAGAUCUCAGGACAAGCUUUUUUUCAUGAAACGUUUUAAACUUUUUCUUUGUUUUCAUUUUUUUUCAUGACAUUUUAUUGUUAUUCUAUUGUAACAGCAUAAUAAAUGGUUUUGUUUGUUUUUGACAUGUUUGUUAUAGUUUGUUUUGUUGUGAAAUUGUUAUUUUGUAAAUUAUGUUCGAUGUUAACAUAUUUUUUUCUUAAGAUGGCGUAAAUUUUGGGGAUUUCUUUAAGACUUGUGUGCAUUAAAACUUAAUUACCAACACUGUUUAUCUAGUACAUUGUAUUUAUGCCCUAUUCUGUUAUUUGUAAAAGAAAGACAAUUCUUUUUAAUCUAAAUGAGAGCAUGGUUACUUAUUGUUUAAGGUUCUGCUUUUAUCGUAAAUGAAUUGCAAAAUUUCAAAUGAAGGUAUGUUUAUGAAUAUGUUUACGUUGUUAACCCUGUGACAAAGGUGAUUAACAUAAAUUAUUUAAAUUUCGGGCGUUAUGCAAUGCAUAUUCAACAUCAGACAUCGUUCUGAAUUGCAAUACAUGUGACUAUAUAUUGAUUAGAUACUCCUCUCACAAUACCACCAAUUUGUAAUGACGUUACGUGUACCAAAUGCAGUUAUCAAGUUAGCUUAUAUUAUGUAUUGUGAUAUGGUUCUCGUAUUGUUUGAAGACAUUAUAUAAAGCAUAUGCCAUUUAUGUAUGACAUAGAUUUUGUUGUAAUGACUUACCUUUACCUGAACCGAUGCAUGGGUUUGAUCUGUGUAUUAGUGAAUGGAGCCUGUUAGCAGCCGCUUCUGGUUGAGUUUUUGUAGAGCCUAGGCUGUUUAGCAGAUAAUAUGUGUAUAAUGUAUAGUUGUUCUGUAAGGAUUUUUCCAAACAAUCAGUAGAAAGUUGUUAUUGAUGAAUUAAAUAAUUCAAUU
rnacentral:misc_RNA from 1 species